GACAGAGGGUGCAAGCGUUGUUCGGAAUCAUUGGGCGUAAAGGGCGCGUAGGCGGUCUUGUAAGUCGGAUGUGAAAGCCCAGGGCUCAACCGUGGAAGUGCAUCCGAAACUGUAAGGCUUGAGUCUCGGAGAGGGUGGUGGAAUUCCCAGUGUAGAGGUGAAAUUCGUAGAUAUUCGCAAGAACACCAGUGGCGAAGGCGGCUCACUGGCCCGAUACUGACGCUGAGGCACGAAAGCGUGGGGAGCAAACAGG
rnacentral:rRNA from 1 species